UCGUGUAGACACCGUUGGGAUGGCAUCACGUUUGGUCCAGUUUGGAUGCGUAACUCGACGGACGCUGUUGUCCCGCUUCAACACAGCUGGACAUAAGCAGUGCCUAAUGAGUCGGCUUCUGCUGACAUUCUGCUCAAGUACAACAUUGUUAUCUUUGGUGGCAUUGAUGGUUUUUCUCGAAAGAUAAUGUGUCUUGGUGCAGCUUCCAACAACCUGGCAUCUACCACACUGGCUUUCUUUCAGGGUUGAGUGGAGGAAUUUGGUUUCCCCCUCAGGGGUGGAAAACGUGGAGGUUGCAUGUGUCAUGUUUAUGGUUCGUGGGACAAGAAGAAGCAGCUUCAUAUCUGGAAAGUGUUCUCAAUCAAAGGAUAGAGCGACUGUGGAGAGACCUGUGGGCACCUGUGACAUGCAUUUAUGAUGAUGUGCUUCACUACCUUGAAGGGGAGGCGUACCUCAACAUUUCAAAUGUUGCACACCUCUUCUGGUGCCAUUAUGGCUUCCUGCCACGGCUGCAGGAUGAUCUGGAUACUUUCCGCAGUGGCUAUUCAUCCACUUCGAACUGAAAGUAACAUAUCUCCUAACCAGCACUGGGUUUUUGGUCGGAACCGUCACUCAAUUGACCCCUCCGUGGAUAUUGCGCAAUCCGCGUCACUGACCAAUCAGAGGCCAGAGAUCUGCAUAAACCAAAGCCCGUUUUUGCUCCCGCCAUUUUCUCAGACAACAUUGCAUUGUCCAGUAUAGGUUUUGUUAGUGUUUUAUCGCGUAUUUGAGUUAUUUAACAAAAAAUAUGGUUAAGAGGUGUGGUCACGGACUUUGUAAUCGUGACGACAGGUACCCUGAAAGGCUAGUUGGUGGAGUUCGAUUCGUACCCUUUCCAAAACCGAAGACCGAGUCCGAAAAUUGCCUUCGAUGGAUCAAACUUUGUGGAAGACCGCAUCAUCAACUAAAUCCAUCUAAAAUAAACCGGAACAGAUAUGUUUGCACGAAGCGCACGUGGCGUGACGUCACUUCAGGAGGCGUGGUUAAGUGCCCUGUACGGAGGGGUCAAUUCCUGAACCUCCCAGUUCCUUGAGAGAGAUAUAUUUUAAUUGGUGUACAGAUUCCAGACAUCGAAUGGGAAGACAGCGGGCUUCCUCUGCAGGAUGUGUCAAGUGUCACUGUGCCGAACUCCAAUUUGGAACUGACUUAUGAACAUAUGUCAGCUUUAAGGGAUGCAGUCAACCCCAGAGCUACAUUUCAGUCUUUUGGCUGUGAAAUUUACAUUGCUGCAGUUCAGUUUUGUGAAGUUUUUUAUCCUUUAAAAGUUGCUCCUGCAGGAACCACUUCCUGGAAGGUACAAUUGUCCAUUUUUUUAGAACUUCCAAUUCAUCUUACAUUAGAAGAAUCAGAAUACAUUGUUAGUUUGACUUUUGUGUUAUAUUUUCAAAUGCACUACAAAGUUAUGUUAACACUAACAGUGAAUCGUUUCAUGAAAACAAAUUUCAAUGGCAUAUUUUGAACUGCCAUUAACUGAAUCAGUGCAGUGUAAUGCCAAUAACUCCUCUGAACAUUGUCAUGUUAUGUUGUCAUGUGUAAAUGAGUUCAACAUUAAACAAUAUAUGAAG